rnacentral:rRNA from 1 species
GACGAACGCUGGCGGCGUGCUUAACACAUGCAAGUCGAACGGAAAGGCCCUGCUUUUGUGGGGUGCUCGAGUGGCGAACGGGUGAGUAACACGUGAGUAACCUGCCCUUGACUUUGGGAUAACUUCAGGAAACUGGGGCUAAUACCGGAUAGGAGCUCCUGCUGCAUGGUGGGGGUUGGAAAGUUUCGGCGGUUGGGGAUGGACUCGCGGCUUAUCAGCUUGUUGGUGGGGUAGUGGCUUACCAAGGCUUUGACGGGUAGCCGGCCUGAGAGGGUGACCGGCCACAUUGGGACUGAGAUACGGCCCAGACUCCUACGGGAGGCAGCAGUGGGGAAUAUUGCACAAUGGGCGGUAGCCUGAUGCAGCAACGCCGCGUGCGGGAUGACGGCCUUCGGGUUGUAAACCGCUUUCGCCUGUGACGAGGCGUGAGUGACGGUAAUGGGUAAAGAAGCACCGGCUAACUACGUG